GUACAGCAUGAAUACAGUGCGUGCGUGUGCCACAGCGUAUGUGUAGAGGUCAGAAGGUAACAUCUGGCGUCACAGUCCACCUUACUAGAGACAGGGUCUCCCUGCCACUUCUCUGCUGUCCAGGAUAGUUUGCCUGCAAGCUUCUCUGUGGAUUCCUGUCUGCUGCCCAUCUUCCUGCAGGGGGAAUGCUCAUGCCUUUUGGGGGGUGGGAGGAGAGUCCCCAGCUUUUGAGGCAAGCAUGCUUACCUGCUGAAAAAGAUUUGCAUUUAAAACCCAGGAAAUCGCAGGCUUCACAACAUUAAGCACAGCAGCUAUAAUGGAGAGUGAUCUAGUGAUCUUUAAACUUCCAAGGCAGAAGGAGAGAGAGACUAAAGGAGGGUAGAUAGUCACUGGUUCAAUUUUUAGCUUUAAUUCCUCAAAAGGGCCACUUGUUUACUAAAUUUCCAGUAGAGGUGACUGAGCCAGGUGUGGUGGCCGAUGUCUGAAGCCAUGGCUCUUGAGGGGCUUCCCCAAGAGGACUGAUGGAACACACAAGUUGGAGCCCAGCUUGGCUAACACAGUAAGACAUCAAAUGGAGGGAUGUGAGGCUCUACACCAGUUUUUCUUGGUGUAGACUUCUCAGUCUACCGAAGAGUCAACCAUGUAGGUCAUGACCUAAGAAUCACUUGGAUCCUGCCAAACAUCUGUGUAAGGAUUGAUCGUCAUGGGCCUCCAUUGCUGGCUCUUCUUUCUGCUUCUGGAUGCCAGAGUGCCUGAGGGGACAGUCCCACAUCUCCCCCGCAUCCACAUUCUCCUCCAAUAGCACCUUAAGUGAUGCCAUGUAGUCCCAGGAUAUUAAAUCCCACACUCCACAUGUCUUUCUGAAGCCGGGACCGCCCUGUGAUCUGCAAACUGAGUGGACUUCCCAGGUGCUGGGGAAGUGUUCCAACACAUCUGAACAAACUCAGGAUUGUCCCAACACCAGCCCUCCUCCUCCUCCCUCUUCCCAUAUGUCCCAGUCUUGGUGAGACGAAUGUAUUUGUGUCACACCCUCUCAGCCAAGAUUCAGAGACCAUCCCAGAUGAGGGGACAGACCUGUAAGAGCCAGACAGUGUCUUCUGGAGCGACAGGCACCUGCACUCAGGAACUCAGAGCUACAGCUGCCCACACAAGAUCAAGCCAGUCAACUCUCGAGCAUGGACACGGGGCCCCAGGCCCACUCCUAGUUUAGAAGCCACAGCAGUCGCAGGCGGAGCAAGUCAGCUUUCUUCAGGCCUAGGACAAGCCACAGUGGACAGCCUUCUACCCAUGUGCACGCAGCGAUGAAUGCUAAAUGGACUCACUUGGGUUACAUAGUCAAAUGUAUAGAGAGAGAAGGGGGGACAUAAACAAUAGAGAAGCGGGGAGGACUCAGGAGGAGUUAGAGAGGGGCAUGAGAGGUGGAUGUGACAAUCAAAAUCUUCAUGCAUGAAGGAAAAAAAUAGAAAAAUUAAAAAUUCCACACUGUAA
rnacentral:lncRNA from 1 species